ensembl:lncRNA
GCCGCCUCUUCCAGGAAGACCACCUUGCUUUCCCCGGGCCAAGGGUAGUGCUUUCGCCCCAGGCUCCCUUCCUCUGCACUCUUUCUGCUCCCACGGAAAUAAGGUUCCUUGAGGGCCGAGGCCGUGUCCUCUCCCCACUGUGUCCUCGUCACCUGGCCCCACAGAACGUCACGGGCUUGCAGUGGUUGAGGCAGGAGGUGGCCUGUGACCUGCACUGUCUCGGGACCGGCCCUGGGGGUCUGAUCAGGCGUGCCCACCUGGACGAGGCGCUUGACUCUCCCCAGCAUCGCUUAUCCCUGUGUGAGCAGCCUGAGCCUCGGGCAGGAGUGUACAGAAAACAAGCUCGACACCGGAUUCCACAUCCUGGGCCCUCUGAAAAAGACGUCCAUCCUGAAAUAGUUCAUUUAUACAAGAGAACAGAGCGGAAAGUCUUAAUACGGUAACGUGGACGCCCAGGUCCUGCUGCCCACGGAAGGACUAAGACGUGCCAGGACCAAUCACACCUCCCAGCGCCCCCUGCACCCAGCUCCCCUCCACGCCGCCCACUGGGAACCAGGGCCUCACCUUUCUCUCCAUCUCCCUGAGCUUCUCCUGCUCUGUGGUCUUACAGCCACACGGGAUGUUAAGAGGGAGUGUUCAUUAUAUUGAUGCUAGUCUCCUGUAACAAACCGGACAGCUUCUUCCUUGGAAUAAUUUUAUUUAUUUAUAUUUUUCGCUGCCCUGGGCUUUCGUCGCUGUGAGGGCUUUCUCUAGUUGCC